rnacentral:rRNA from 1 species
AGUCGAACGGCAGCGCGGGGCAACCUGGCGGCGAGUGGCGAACGGGUGAGUAAUAUAUCGGAACGUACCCUGGAGUGGGGGAUAACGUAGCGAAAGUUACGCUAAUACCGCAUACGAUCUAAGGAUGAAAGUGGGGGAUCGCAAGACCUCAUGCUCCUGGAGCGGCCGAUAUCUGAUUAGCUAGUUGGUGGGGUAAAGGCUCACCAAGGCUUCGAUCAGUAGCUGGUCUGAGAGGACGACCAGCCACACUGGAACUGAGACACGGUCCAGACUCCUACGGGAGGCAGCAGUGGGGAAUUUUGGACAAUGGGCGCAAGCCUGAUCCAGCAAUGCCGCGUGAGUGAAGAAGGCCUUCGGGUUGUAAAGCUCUUUUGUCAGGGAAGAAACGGUGAAGGCUAAUAUCCUUUGCUAAUGACGGUACCUGAAGAAUAAGCACCGGCUAACUACGUGCCAGCAGCCGCGGUAAUACGUAGGGUGCAAGCGUUAAUCGGAAUUACUGGGCGUAAAGCGUGCGCAGGCGGUUUUGUAAGUCUGUCGUGAAAGCCCCGGGCUUAACCUGGGAAUUGCGAUGGAGACUGCAAGGCUUGAAUCUGGCAGAGGGGGGUAGAAUUCCACGUGUAGCAGUGAAAUGCGUAGAGAUGUGGAGGAACACCGAUGGCGAAGGCAGCCCCCUGGGUCAAGAUUGACGCUCAUGCACGAAAGCGUGGGGAGCAAACAGGAUUAGAUACCCUGGUAGUCCACGCCCUAAACGAUGUCUACUAGUUGUCGGGUUUUAAUUAACUUGGUAACGCAGCUAACGCGUGAAGUAGACCGCCUGGGGAGUACGGUCGCAAGAUUAAAACUCAAAGGAAUUGAC